GUAAAUAUAAAUUGGAGAUGGAUUGGCAUUUAUUUAAUUACUAAAUCUAAAUUACAAUUUAACUCAGCUUUAGGCUAUUAGAAAAUGUAAUACAUAACAAAGUAAAAACUGUGA